UUGAACGCUGGCGGCAGGCCUAACACAUGCAAGUCGAACGGUAACAGGAAGAAGCUUGCUUCUUUGCUGACGAGUGGCGGACGGGUGAGUAAUGUCUGGGAAACUGCCUGAUGGAGGGGGAUAACUACUGGAAACGGUAGCUAAUACCGCAUAACGUCGCAAGACCAAAGAGGGGGACCUUCGGGCCUCUUGCCAUCGGAUGUGCCCAGAUGGGAUUAGCUAGUAGGUGGGGUAACGGCUCACCUAGGCGACGAUUCCUAGCUGGUCUGAGAGGAUGACCAGCCACACUGGAACUGAGACACGGUCCAGACUCCUACGGGAGGCAGCAGUGGGGAAUAUUGCACAAUGGGCGCAAGCCUGAUGCAGCCAUGCCGCGUGUAUGAAGAAGGCCUUCGGGUUGUAAAGUACUUUCAGCGGGGAGGAAGGGAGUAAAGUUAAUACCUUUGCUCAUUGACGUUACCCGCAGAAGAAGCACCGGCUAACUCCGUG
rnacentral:rRNA from 1 species